UACGAAGGUCCCAAGCGUUAUCCGGAUUUAUUGGGUUUAAAGGGUGCGUAGGCGGGCUAUUAAGUCAGUGGUGAAAGCCCCAAGCUUAACUUGGGAACUGCCAUUGAUGCUGAUGGUCUUGAGUACAUUUGAGGUGGGCGGAAUGUGUCAUGUAGCGGUGAAAUGCUUAGAUAUGACACAGAACACCGAUUGCGAAGGCAGCUCACUAAACUGUAAACUGACGCUGAGGCACGAAAGCGUGGGGAGCAAACAGG
rnacentral:rRNA from 1 species